CCUACGGGAUGCAGCAGUGAGGAAUAUUGGUCAAUGGGCGCGAGCCUGAACCAGCCAAGUAGCGUGAAGGAUGACUGCCCUACGGGUUGUAAACUUCUUUUAUAAAGGAAUAAAGUGAGGCACGUGUGCAUUUUUGUAUGUACUUUAUGAAUAAGGAUCGGCUAACUCCGUGCCAGCAGCCGCGGUAAUACGGAGGAUCCGAGCGUUAUCCGGAUUUAGUGGGUUUAAAGGGAGCGUAGAUGGGUUGUUAAGUAAGUUGUGAAAGUUUGCGGCUCAACAGUAAAAUUGCAAUGGAUACUGGCAGCCUUGAGUACAGUUGAGGUAGGCGGAAUUCGUGGUGUAGCGGUGAAAUGCUUAGAUAUCACGAAGAACCCCGAUUGCGAAGGCAGCUUACUAAACUGCCACUGACAUUGAUGCUCGAAAGUGUGGGUAUCAAACAGGAUUAGAUACCCCAGUAGUC
rnacentral:rRNA from 1 species